UUUUUUAACAAAAAAUCUAUAGUUAUUUAUAUCUUUUAUACAAUGAGGUAAACUAUUAAAUGUUUUAAUUGCAUCUGUAAUUGGAUUUCUUAAACCUAUGUUAGUUCUUGUAGAAACUUGAUAAACAUUAUUUAGUGAUCUUGUUUGAUGAUUAUGUACAUUAUGGUAAAACAUAAUAUUUAUGUUACUUUUUUGUCUGUUGUUUAUAAUUUUAUAUACAAGUUUACAUUGUUCUAUCUCCAAUAUCACUUUUAAUUUGUUUAAACUUAAAUUUGAAUAAAUUGUAUUAGAACUUGUAAGCCAAUCAAAAUUAAACAAAAUUUUCAAAAUUUUAUUUUGCAAAAUUUGAGCCUUAUUAAAAUUAACUUCACCGCACAUACCCCAUACUGGCAAGAGGUACCUAAAAUGUGUGAGAAAGAAGGCAUUAUAAAUUUGAAAUUUACUUUUUUCAGACAAAUAAUCUCUACUCCUAUAUAAGGCAGAUAGCAUUGGAACUGUUUUAUCAAAAAUUUUGUUUAAGUGUAGUGACCAAUUUAAAUUUUCAUCUAUUUGCAAACCUAAAUAUUUAAUAUUCGACACUUUUUCUAAUAUUACAGUAUUAAUAUUAAUAUUUAGAUUAUUGCUGACUGACUUAUUUUUUUGUUUGAAUAUCAUGUAUUUGGUUUUCUCAAUGUUAAUUUUUAAUUUAUUUGAAAACAGCCAUUUAAGAUAACAUUUUAGGUCAUUAUUAAUAAGUUGUGUUAAAGAAGUUUCAUCUGUUCCAGCAUAUACCAGUACAGUGUCAUCUGCAAAGGUCUAUGAAGACAGCUAUAACUAUUUGUUGUUUAUCUAAUGCCAUUGAAAUACAGUCUACAAAAUCCACAACCGCACCAAGUGUACUACUGUUCUUUAUAAAGCCAUAUUGAUAUUUAUCAUUCAAUAGAUUGCAAGAGUUAAUGAAAGAUAA